GGAGGAAAAGAAACUAACAAGGAUUCCCCUAGUAACGGCGAGUGAAGCGGGAAGAGCUCAAAUUUGAAAUCUGGCAGUCUUCGAUUGUCCGAGUUGUAAUCUAUAGAGGCGUUUUCCGUGCCGGACCGUGUCCAAGUCUCCUGGAAAGGAGUAUCAAAGAGGGUGAUAAUCCCGUACUUAACACGACCACCGGUGCUCUGUGAUACGUCUUCUACGAGUCGAGUUGUUUGGGAAUGCAGCUCAAAAUGGGUGGUGAAUUCCAUCUAAAGCUAAAUAUUGGCGAGAGACCGAUAGCGAACAAGUACCGUGAGGGAAAGAUGAAAAGCACUUUGGAAAGAGAGUUAAACAGUACGUGAAAUUGUUGAAAGGGAAACGAUUGAAGUCAGUCGUGUUCUUUGGAUUCAGCCAGUUCUGCUGGUCUACUUCCUUGGAACGGGUCAACAUCAGUUUUGUCCGGUGGAUAAAGGUAGUAGGAAUGUGACUUCUCCGGAAGUGUUAUAGCCUAUUAUCACAUACACUGGGUGAGACUGAGGACUGCAGCUCGCCUUUAUGGCCGGCCUUCGGGCACGUUCGAGCUUAGGAUGUUGACAUAAUGGCUUUAAACGACCCG
rnacentral:rRNA from 1 species